rnacentral:rRNA from 1 species
UACGGAGGGUGCAAGCGUUAUCCGGAUUCACUGGGCUUAAAGGGCGCGCAGGCGGAUUGGUAAGUCAGUGGUGAAAGGCUUAAGCUUAACUUGGGAACUGCCAUUGAUACUAUCAGUCUUGAAUGUUGUUGAGGUUUGCGGAAUGGGUCAUGUAGCGGUGAAAUGCAUAGAUAUGACCCGGAACACCUAUUGCGAAGGCAGCAGGCUAAACAAAUAUUGACGCUGAGGCUCGAAAGCGUGAGGAUCAAACAGG